CAGAGUUAUCCAACUCCCAAACCCAUGUGAACUUAUCUCUUUGUUGCCUCGGCGCAAGCUACCCGGGACCCAGCGCCCCGGGCGGCCGCCGGCGGACAAACCAAAACUCUUGUUAUCUUGGUUGAUUAUCUGAGCGUCUUAUUUAAUAAGUCA
rnacentral:misc_RNA from 1 species